rnacentral:rRNA from 1 species
UACAGAGGGGGCGAGCGUUGUUCGGAAUUACUGGGCGUAAAGGGCGCGUAGGCGGCCAACUAAGUCAGACGUGAAAUCCCUCGGCUCAACCGGGGAACUGCGUCUGAUCCUGGAUGGCUUGAAUUCGGGAGAGGGAUGCGGAAUUCCAGGUGUAGCGGUGAAAUGCGUAGAUAUCAGGAAGAACACCCGUGGCGAAGGCGGCUCUCUGGGACGGUACUGACGCUGAGACGCGAAAGCGUGGGGAGCGAACAGG